CUUGAACAGAACAGGAGCGUAGAACAUGAUGACAUUGAUGCCGGUUAGUUGCUGGAAGAAUGGGAUUAAAGCGCACAUCACGAGUUGAGGUCUUGGAACUCCUCUUGGACAUCGUCGGUACCACGAACUUUCUGUAGCAUCUUCUUAGCCUUCUCUGUGUAUCCUCUUUCGAGAAUGGAGUUAGGAGUAUCGGGAAGGAAGAAGGAUCCGACGGUCAUCAUCACGGCGGGGACUGCGGCGAGAGCCAGUGAGACUCUCCAUCCCCAUCCGCCUACGAUUUUGGCUGUACCGACAUUUACAAGAUUCGCCACCAAGAUGCCGAUUGUGAUGGCCAUUUGGAAGCCCAUGUUCAGAGCACCUCUGAUUUUGGCUGGUGCCAUUUCAGAAAGCAUACCUGAUUGGCAAAUCCAACACCAACGCCAAGCAACAAACGGCCAAUGAUGAGCAGUGCAAUGCUAUUAGCAACACCAUUGAGAAUGGAACCAAAUAAGAAGGAAAGACCUCCAAUAAACAUGGAUGGUUUGCGGCCAAAUUUCCGGGUAAUGACGGACGCGGCGAAGGAAGCCACCAGAGCAGCAAGGUAAAGGGAAGAGGAGCUGCAUCAACAUGCGAAGCAUGGGGGCCGGAUCCCCUGCGCAGUCAUGUAAUCUUUCUGGGAGUUUGGAGCCCAAUCAAUCGGGUCGUGUAGGUGUCUGUCAGGCUUGUUGAAAGCAUCUGGCCAGGUGCAUUCCGAGUUGACCAAACUACAGAUUAGCAGGUUAUCCUCAUCUCCAAGCUCUUCAUAAUAAUACUACAUACAACCAGCUUCCUUCUAAACACAUUCCUGUUUGUAGGGAGAAUGUUUUGAGACUUGAAUCUUGAUGGUAUAUAAAUAUUCCAUAAGGAAGCAUAGGUUGUGGAGGUGAGUUUAUAACCACUCUUCACUAUAUAUUCACUAUAUAUAUAAUUGCUAAAGAAACGCCUUCCCAUUGGAAUAUUCAAGAUGUGGUUUCUAUC